GACGGAGGCCCCGAGCGUUGUUCGGAAUCACUGGGCUUAAAGCGUGUGUAGGCGGAGUGGCAAGUACUUUGUGAAAUCCCCGGCUUCAACCCGGGAAUGGCUUGGUAUACUGCCACCCUUGAGGCAGGUAGGGGUCACUGGAACGUUAGGUGGAGCGGUGAAAUGCGUAGAUAUCUAACGGAACGCCUGUGGCGAAAGCGGGUGACUGGGCCUGACCUGACGCUGAGACGCGAAAGCGUAGGGAGCAAACGGGAUUAGAUACCCCGGUAGUCUACGCCGUAAACGAUGCGCACUAGGUUCGAGAGCUUCUGACGUCUUUCGUGCCGAAACAAAAGCGAUAAGUGCGCCGCCUGGGGAGUACGGCCGCAAGGCUAAAACUCAAAGGAAUUGACGGGGGCUCACACAAGCGGUGGAGCAUGUGGAUCAAUUCGAAGCAACGCGAAGAACCUUACCUGGGUUUGACAUGCACGGAUGCUCUCGGUGAAAGCUGAGUAGGCUGCCUUCGGGUGAAACGUGCACAGGUGCUGCAUGGCUGUCGUCAGCUCGUGCUGUGAAGUGUCGGGUUAAGUCCCUUAACGAGCGAAACCCCUGUCUGCUAGUUGCCAGCGGGUCAUGCCGGGAACUCUAGCGAGACUGCCGGCGUAAGUCGGAGGAAGGCGGGGACGACGUCAAGUCAUCAUGGCCUUUAUGUCCAGGGUGUCACACGUGCUACAAUGGGGUGAACAGAGCGACGCGAAACCGUGAGGUGGAGCAAAUCGCACAAAACACCCCUCAGUUCGGAUUGGGGUCUGCAACUCGACCCCAUGAAGCUGGAAUCGCUAGUAAUCGCGCAUCAGCCAUGGCGCGGUGAAUGUGUUCCUGAGCCU
rnacentral:rRNA from 1 species